AUUGAACGCUGGCGGAAUGCUUUACACAUGCAAGUCGAACGGCAGCACGGACUUCGGUCUGGUGGCGAGUGGCGAACGGGUGAGUAAUAUAUCGGAACGUGCCCAGUCGUGGGGGAUAACGUAGUGAAAAUUACGCUAAUACCGCAUACGAUCUAAGGAUGAAAGCGGGGGAUCGCAAGACCUCGCGCGAUUGGAGCGGCCGAUAUCAGAUUAGGUAGUUGGUGAGGUAAAGGCUCACCAAGCCAACGAUCUGUAGCUGGUCUGAGAGGACGACCAGCCACACUGGAACCGAGACACGGUCCAGACUCCUACGGGAGGCAGCAGUGGGGAAUUUUGGACCAAUGGGGGGAAACCCUGAUCCAGCCAUUCCGCGUGUGCGAUGAAGGCCUGGUGUAAC
rnacentral:rRNA from 1 species